UUGAACGCUGGCGGCAGGCCUAACACAUGCAAGUCGAACGGUAACAGGAAGCAGCUUGCUGCUUUGCUGACGAGUGGCGGACGGGUGAGUAAUGUCUGGGAAACUGCCCGAUGGAGGGGGAUAACUACUGGAAACGGUAGCUAAUACCGCAUAACGUCGCAAGACCAAAGAGGGGGACCUUAGGGCCUCUUGCCAUCGGAUGUGCCCAGAUGGGAUUAGCUAGUAGGUGGGGUAACGGCUCACCUAGGCGACGAUCCCUAGCUGGUCUGAGAGGAUGACCAGCCACACUGGAACUGAGACACGGUCCAGACUCCUACGGGAGGCAGCAGUGGGGAAUAUUGCACAAUGGGCGCAAGCCUGAUGCAGCCAUGCCGCGUGUAUGAAGAAGGCCUUCGGGUUGUAAAGUACUUUCAGCGGGGAGGAAGGGAGUAAAGUUAAUACCUUUGCUCAUUGACGUUACCCGCAGAAGAAGCACCGGCUAACUCCGUGCCAGCAGCCGCGGUAAUACGGAGGGUGCAAGCGUUAAUCGGAAUUACUGGGCGUAAAGCGCACGCAGGCGGUUUGUUAAGUCAGAUGUGAAAUCCCCGGGCUCAACCUGGGAACUGCAUCUGAUACUGGCAAGCUUGAGUCUCGUAGAGGGGGGUAGAAUUCCAGGUGUAGCGGUGAAAUGCGUAGAGAUCUGGAGGAAUACCGGUGGCGAAGGCGGCCCCCUGGACGAAGACUGACGCUCAGGUGCGAGAGCGUGGGGAGCAAACAGGAUUAGAUACCCUGGUAGUCCACGCCGUAAACGAUGUCGACUUGGAGGUUGUGCCCUUGAGGCGUGGCUUCCGGAGCUAACGCGUUAAGUCGACCGCCUGGGGAGUACGGCCGCAAGGUUAAAACUCAAAUGAAUUGACGGGGGCCCGCACAAGCGGUGGAGCAUGUGGUUUAAUUCGAUGCAACGCGAAGAACCUUACCUGGUCUUGACAUCCACGGAAGUUUUCAGAGAUGAGAAUGUGCCUUCGGGAACCGUGAGACAGGUGCUGCAUGGCUGUCGUCAGCUCGUGUUGUGAAAUGUUGGGUUAAGUCCCGCAACGAGCGCAACCCUUAUCCUUUGUUGCCAGCGGUCCGGCCGGGAACUCAAAGGAGACUGCCAGUGAUAAACUGGAGGAAGGUGGGGAUGACGUCAAGUCAUCAUGGCCCUUACGACCAGGGCUACACACGUGCUACAAUGGCGCAUACAAAGAGAAGCGAUCUCGCGAGAGCAAGCGGACCUCAUAAAGUGCGUCGUAGUCCGGAUUGGAGUCUGCAACUCGACUCCAUGAAGUCGGAAUCGCUAGUAAUCGUGGAUCAGAAUGCCACGGUGAAUACGUUCCCGGGCCUUGUACACACCGCCCGUCACACCAUGGGAGUGGGUUGCAAAAGAAGUAGGUAGCUUAACCUUCGGGAGGGCGCUUACCACUUUGUGAUUCAUGACUGGGGUG
rnacentral:rRNA from 1 species